CAGCCGCCGCGGGAAUACGUAGGGUGCGAGCGUUAAUCGGAAUUACUGGGCGUAAAGCGUGCGUAGGUGGUGGUUUAAGUCCGUUGUGAAAGCCCUGGGCUCAACCUGGGAAUUGCAGUGGAUACUGGGUCACUAGAGUGUGGUAGAGGAUAGUGGAAUUUCCGGUGUAGCAGUGAAAUGCGUAGAGAUCGGAAGGAACAUCUGUGGCGAAGGCGACUAUCUGGGCCAACACUGACACUGAGGCACGAAAGCGUGGGGAGCAAACAGGAUUAGAUACCCCGGUAGUCCCUGUAUCUUAUAA
rnacentral:rRNA from 1 species